GACGAACGCUGGCGGCGUGCUUAACACAUGCAAGUCGAGCGGUAAGGCCCUUUCGGGGGUACACGAGCGGCGAACGGGUGAGUAACACGUGGGUGACCUGCCCUUAGCUCUGGGAUAAGCCUGGGAAACUGGGUCUAAUACCGGAUAUGACUCCAUGACGCAUGUUGUGGGGUGGGAAAGCCUUGUGCGGCUAGGGAUGGGCCCGCGGCCUAUCAGCUUGUUGGUGGGGUGAUGGCCUACCAAGGCGACGACGGGUAGCCGGCCUGAGAGGGCGACCGGCCACACUGGGACUGAGACACGGCCCAGACUCCUACGGGAGGCAGCAGUGGGGAAUCUUGCGCAAUGGGCGAAAGCCUGACGCAGCGACGCCGCGUGAGGGAUGACGGCCUC
rnacentral:rRNA from 1 species